GACGAACGCUGGCGGCGUGCCUAACACAUGCAAGUCGAACGGGGUGAGGCCCUUCGGGACCUUUACCUAGUGGCGAACGGGUGAGUAACGCGUGAGGAACCUGCCUUUCAGUGGGGGACAACAGUUGGAAACGACUGCUAAUACCGCAUGAAGCUUUUGGGAGACAUCUCCUGGAAGCCAAAGCUUAAUGUGCUGAAAGAUGGCCUCGCGUCUGAUUAGCUAGUUGGUGGGGUAACGGCCCACCAAGGCGACGAUCAGUAGCCGGUCUGAGAGGAUGAACGGCCACAUUGGGACUGAGAUACGGCCCAGACUCCUACGGGAGGCAGCAGUGGGGAAUAUUGGGCAAUGGGCGAAAGCCUGACCCAGCAACGCCGCGUGAAGGAAGAAGGCCUUCGGGUUGUAAACUUCUUUUACCAGGGACGAAGGACGUGACGGUACCUGGAGAAAAAGCAACGGCUAACUACGUGCCAGCAGCCGCGGUAAUACGUAGGUUGCAAGCGUUGUCCGGAUUUACUGGGUGUAAAGGGCGUGUAGGCGGAGAUGCAAGUUAGGAGUGAAAUCUAUGGGCUCAACCCAUAAACUGCUUCUAAAACUGUAUCCCUUGAGUAUCGGAGAGGCAAGCGGAAUUCCUAGUGUAGCGGUGAAAUGCGUAGAUAUUAGGAGGAACACCAGUGGCGAAGGCGGCUUGCUGGACGACAACUGACGCUGAGGCGCGAAAGCGUGGGGAGCAAACAGGAUUAGAUACCCUGGUAGUCCACGCUGUAAACGAUGAAUACUAGGUGUGGGGGGACUGACCCCCCUCCGUGCCGCAGUUAACACAAUAAGUAUUCCACCUGGGGAGUACGACCGCAAGGUUGAAACUCAAAGGAAUUGACGGGGGCCCGCACAAGCAGUGGAUUAUGUGGUUUAAUUCGACGCAACGCGAAGAACCUUACCAGGACUUGACAUCCAACUAACGAAGUAGAGAUACAUCAGGUGCCCUUCGGGGAAAGUUGAGACAGGUGGUGCAUGGUUGUCGUCAGCUCGUGUCGUGAGAUGUUGGGUUAAGUCCCGCAACGAGCGCAACCCCUAUUGUUAGUUGCUACGAAAGAGCACUCUAGCGAGACUGCCGUUGACAAAACGGAGGAAGGCGGGGACGACGUCAAAUCAUCAUGCCCCUUAUGUCCUGGGCUACACACGUAAUACAAUGGUGGCCAACAGAGGGAAGCGAAGCCGUGAGGCAGAGCAAAAUCCCUAAAAGCCAAUCUCAGUUCGGAUUGCAGGCUGCAAACUCGCCUGCAUGAAAGCUGGAAUUGCUAGUAAUCGCGGAUCAGCAUGCCGCGGUAAUUACGUUUCCCGGGCCU
rnacentral:rRNA from 1 species